GGAGGGUGAUACAGGGAUAGUGGGAACACACGGGGACCAGCAAGUCAGGGAUUCAGAUGACAGCAUCCCACUUGAGGUGUGGGUGUGGACCAGUUCGGGUAUCACGUGAGAUGUGUCAGGCAGGAGUGAGGCACGAACAAGUAAGUGGGUAUUACAGGGGGUCAGGCAGGUAACAGACUGAUGUGCCGUCAGAAAAAAGUCAGGUGAGGGUAAUCAGGCAAGUGUGGGGAGUUGGACAGGUUCAGGGACUAGACAUGAGCUGGGGAUUAAGAAAAUUGUCAGGGUGUCAGGCACUGGGAUCAGACUGUUCUGAGAGACAGGUGUGGGGAAAGGAGGCGGCCUGGGCUGUGGGCAGGGGUUAGGAGCCAGGCAGAAGUGAAUGGGACUAGGGUGACAUGGUGGGGUCACACAAACACGAAAGAUAGGUGUGGGGUCGGCCUCCCCUUUUUCAAGUUGAAGGUGAGAGGUCUCUAUGGGGAAAGGGUGGGGCCAACGAGGAGUGGAAGACGCCUAGCCCGAAGAGACCCCAGGCAGAGGCCAGAAGUCCCAGGUUUGAGGGGCAAGGCAGGGGAAGCCCGGCGAUGGAAGGCGCCGGAGGAAGGGCGUGGUCUGCGAGGAAGUACGCAAAGGGGCGCGGCUACUUCGGGUCGGAGAAGGAGGGCUUCCCUUUUCUCCAGAAGGGGUCCUUGCAGGCUCCACCCCACCUAAAGCCCUCCCCAGUUGGGGAAGGGGUUCCUCACCGUGACAGCCUGGAAGGACCGGAACUCCAGCCGCCUCGACUCCUGUGUGCUCCCUGUGGCCUCCUGGUACUUGAGUUCUGGUCAAGGCUCUGACAUCCAGCAUCCCGGACUUGCCUGCUCACCCUGUCUCCAUCUCCCAGACUCACGUCUCCACCCCCCACCCUCUACCCGCUGCUCAUGGCCCUGGGAGGAUAUAAGGUCAGCAGACGGGCAGCAAGGUGGGCCGAAGGCAGCACCCAGCUGUGCAUGGCCAGUACCAUGUUGAGAAUGUGGUCCCCUUGGCGCAGGCUGCCAGCUGAGUCUGGGGGCAGGAGGAGGAAACUGUCAGAAUGGUCCCCGGGCAAGGUACUGCAGGGUCUCCAGAGCCUGUUGAACUGGCUGGUUCAAACCCCAGCUCCACCUGUAACUCCCUGCAUGAACUUAGACAACCAACUUAGCCCCUUCUGCCUCAGUUUCCCUGUCUGUACUGUGCAUGGACCAGCACAGCUCCUGGCAAAUCAUGUUGAAGAUGGAAAUAGAAUCAGACCUCCUCCCCAUCUCUGUAUCUCAGGAAAAAGAAAAAAUGCAGGUGUCUCUCUAAUAUGGUGAUUGAGAUUCAUUCCAUGCACUCCUGCUCCCAUUUGAUACCCACCCACACUGAGGCCUAGAGACAGGGGGUGAUUGGCUUAACCUUAGGACUGGGGAGGCUGGCCAGGGAUGGA